GAUGAACGCUGGCGGCGUGCCUAAUACAUGCAAGUCGAGCGAACGGACGAGAAGCUUGCUUUUCUGAUGUUAGCGGCGGACGGGUGAGUAACACGUGGAUAACCUACCUAUAAGACUGGGAUAACUUCGGGAAACCGGAGCUAAUACCGGAUAAUAUUUUGAACCGCAUGGUUCAAAAGUGAAAGACGGUCUUGCUGUCACUUAUAGAUGGAUCCGCGCUGCAUUAGCUAGUUGGUAAGGUAACGGCUUACCAAGGCAACGAUGCAUAGCCGACCUGAGAGGGUGAUCGGCCACACUGGAACUGAGACCCCGCCCAGACUCCUACGGGGGGCAGCAGUAGGGAAGCUUCCGCAAUGGGCGAAGGCAUGACGGAGCACCGCCGCGUGAGGGAUGAAGGUCGUCGGAUGGUAAAACUCUGUUAUUAGGGAAGAACAUAUGUGUAAGUAACUGUGCACAUCGAGGCGGUACCAAAUCAGAAAGCCGCGGCUAUCUACG
rnacentral:rRNA from 1 species